rnacentral:rRNA from 1 species
AGAACCUGAAACCGUAUGUCUACAAGCAGUCGGAGCGAAAGCGACGGCGUGCCUAUUGAAGAAUGAGCCAACGAGUUGCGUGUGCUGGCGAGGUUAAGCAGAAGAUGCGGAGCCGUAGGGAAACCGAGUCUGAACAGGGCGUCAAGUCAGUAUACGCAGACCCGAAACUGCAGUGAUCUACGCAGGGCCAGGUUGAAACGCAGGUAAAAUUGCGCGGAGGACCGAACCGGGACAUGUUGAAAAAUGUUCGGAUGAGCUGUGCGUAGGGGUGAAAUUCCAAUCGAACGCAGAGAUAGCUGGUUCUCCUCGAAAUAGCUUUAGGGCUAGCCUCAGGCAGUAAGCGCAGGCGGUAGAGCACUGAUCGGGAUAGGGACUGUAAUGGUUACCGAACCCUGUCAAACUCCGAAUGGCAGCGCUGCAGAGCCUGGGAGUCAGACUACGAGUGAUAAGAUCCGUGGUCAAAAGGGAAACAGCCCAGACCAUCAGCUAAGGUCCCCAAUGCCGUACUAAGUGGAAAAGGAUGUGGGGUUUCAUAAACAACCAGGAUGUUGGCUCAGAAGCAGCCACCAUUUAAAGAGUGCGUAAUAGCUCACUGGUCGAGAGACCCUGCGCCGAAGAUUCCCGGGGCUAAAGUACGGAACCGAAGCUAUGGAUGCAUGCUUGGCAUGCGUGGUAGAGGAGCGUUCCCGUCGGGUUGAAGUCGUCCUGUAAGGGACGGUGGACGGACGGGAAGUGAGAAUGUUGGCAUGAGUAGCGAAAAGAACGGUGAGAAUCCGUUCCACCGAAAACACAAGGAUUCCUGAGCAACGAUCGUCGUCUCAGGGUAAGUCGGGACCUAAUCCGAGGCAUGGAGCGUAGGAGAUGGACAUCCGGUUGAAAUUCCGGAACCGGCAGGAAUCGUCAAGAGCAACGGAGUGACACAGGAAGGCAGGCGCGCAUGAGAUUGGAAGUUCAUGUGCAAGCGUGCGACGCGCGGGACAGGCAAACCCGUCCCGCACAAGCGCCAGGCGUGACGCGGAGGGAACCGCAAGGGACCCGAAGGCGCCGGACCUACACUGUCGAGAAAAGCUUCUAGCAAGAGACCUGCCGCCCGUACCGUAAACCGACACAGGUGUGUGGGGAGAGAAUCCUAAGGUGCGCGGGAGAACCCUCGUUAAGGAACUCGGCAAAAUGUACCCGUAACUUCGGGAUAAGGGUAGCCAUCUGGUGUGAAGGGACUAGCUCCCGGAGCGCCGGAAGGCCGCAGAGAAGAGGCCCAAGCGACUGUUUACCAAAAACUUAGGUGCCUGCCAAAGCGAAAGCUGACGUAUAGGUGCUGACACCUGCCCAGUGCCGGAAGGUUAAGGAAGGAGGUCCGGGUUCGACCCAAAGCCUUCGACCGAAGCCCCGGUGAACGGCGGCCGUAACUAUAACGGUCCUAAGGUAGCGAAAUUCCUUGUCGGGUAAGUUCCGACCCGCACGAAAGGUGUAACGAUUUGGGCGCUGUCUCAACGAGGGACCCGGUGAAAUUGAAAUACCUGUGAAGAUGCAGGUUACCCGCGACUGGACAGAAAGACCCCAUGGAGCUUUACUGUAACCUGACAUUGGGUUCUGAUACUGCAUGCACAGGAUAGGUGGGAGGCACGGAAGCAUGCCCUUCGGGGUAUGCAGAGCCGCCGUUGGGAUACCACCCUUGCGAUAUCGGAAUUCUAACCGGAACGGUAACGACGUUCGGGACAGUGUCAGGCGGGCAGUUUGACUGGGGCGGUCGCCUCCCAAAGUGUAACGGAGGCGCCCAAAGGUUCCCUCAGCGCGGCCAGAAAUCGCGCGCAGAGUGCAAAGGCAGAAGGGAGCUUGACUGCGAGUCGGACAGGACGAGCAGGGACGAAAGUCGGGCUUAGUGAUCCGGUGGCAUCCA